rnacentral:lncRNA from 1 species
UAGCGGCGUGUCAGCGUGUGGAUAACAGACGCGCAACUCUGACUCCCGUAGAGAGCCUAUGCAGGAACUCUAGGACAGCAUUCACCAGCUUCGGAGUGAAGCUCUGCUGCUAGCACAGAUGUCGCCAUAGUCUCGAGGCACCGUCUGGCAAGGCGAGAGGCUCUGCUUGUAGCACAGUCGCUACCAUAGUCCCGAUGCCCUUUCUGGGUAGGUAAGCAACCAACUAUCCUGCACUGUUUUUUUUUUUUAGUUUGUAAUGCAUGUAUUGUGAAAUUGGGCUUGGUGCCUAGCUAGGUCACGUUUAC